rnacentral:miRNA from 1 species
GUGGAAAAAUCUCUGGAGUCAGAGGCCUGGGCACAGCUCUGGACUCUGCGUAUAACAGUGAGUGUCAGGUCCAGGGUAGGGUGGGACAGAAGAGGGGGUGAAGGUCCGAGGCCUGGCUGACCAGACCCAC